GCCAGUGUGGCAAAAUGGUUUGAGUGUUGGACUGCGAUUCUGGAGACCAGGCUUCAAAUCCCUGCUCUGCCA